rnacentral:piRNA from 1 species
UGGUGAGCACCAUAAGUCUCCUGGAAGC